GCUGAUGGUUUCGUUGCCUAUACGUGGCACCCUUUCGCUUGUUUUUCGCCCUCCCUCGCCCUCUCGAUCGCUUCCCUCCCGGCGAUCGAGCGAGAGGGAACGAGCCUGGUGCUGGCCCUCUUCUUGGCGUCCCUGGAGCCACGAUCAUGCUAUCGGCCUUCGCCACCCCCGGCAGAUGAGAACGACGGCAAGGGGCGAGCCACCUCCAAAAAACAAGAACGGCGGCGAGGGGCCAGCGAUCUGCUAUCAAUCUCCGCCACCGCCGGAAGACGAGAACGACGGCAAGGGCAAGCCAUCUGCUAUGGUCCUUUGCCACCUCCAAAAGACAAGAACGGCGGCGAAGGGCCAGCGAUCUGCUAUCAAUCUCCGCCACCGCCGGAAGAUGAGAAUGACGGCGGCAAGCCAUCUGCUAUGGUCCUCCGCCACCUCCAAAAGACAAGAACGUCGACGAGGUGCCAGCGAUCUACUAUCAAUCUCCGCCACCGCCGAAGACGAGAAUGACGGUAAGGGCAAGCCAUCUGCUAUCGUCCUCCGCCACCUCCAAAAGACGAACGACGGCGAGGGGCCGGCGAUCGGCUAUCAAUCUCCGCCACCGCCGGAAGACCAGAACGACAGUAAGGGCAAGCCAUCUGCUAUCGUCCUCCACCACCUUCAGAAGACAAGAACGGCAGCAAGGGGCCGGCGAUCUGCUAUCAAUCUCCACCACCACCGGAAGACGAGAACGACGGUAAGGGCAAGCCAUCUGCUAUCGACCUCUGCCACCGCCAGAGGACAAGAACUACGGCAAGAGGCAAGCAAUCUGCUAUCGACCUCCACGAACGCCAGAAGACGAGAAAGACGGCAAGAGCAGUUCUUGAUGUUGCAGGACUUUAUACAUAUGUUCGUCACAUGUGAUUUAUUGGGCCUUGUAUACACUCUAGGGAAAUAUGCGGCCGUAUCACGUGACCUACCCAAGUAUGGGGUUUGGGGUGCGGCAGAAUAUGAAGUCUGUGAUAUGCCAUAUACUUUCAAAAACCUGACAGAUUUUGAAGUUUGUGGUUCUCGGAACUUUUUGGUUGCUGAAGACAUCUCUUUUGGUAGACAAUUCCGUCACAGCAAAAUCAACUUUUAAGAGGGUGCUUUCAUUAUAAUAUUAGUUGGUGGUCGAAAUUUUACCAUGAUUUUUUGGUGUUUUUUUAGGGGUGUAUUUACCUUCACUUUCAUGAUAUUUUUGUUGUUUUAGGUGUCUAUUUGCCUUCAACUCGGUAUUUUUUUGUAACUGUGAUACACAUUCUAAUAGCUUCCAAGCAAGAAACAUCAUGCUGCAGGAUGAACAGAGGAAAUUCUGAGAUGGCUAAGAGAGAUAAAUUUUCAGCUAAGGGUGUUUUCUAUAUGUUAUUUCCACACUCACUAAUUUUCUCAUUGUCUUCUGAAUGAUUGAUCUGUUGGAGCAAUCAUUUAGCAGGAUGUCAUCUAACUACUUCAGUUCAAGAUGGAUCUGGAGUAUUGUACAUGAAUAUUUGUGAUCUCUUAGAGAUUAUGAGUUAUGAUUGUGUGUGUCUUUUGCUCUUCCUGCAUAUUAGGUUUUGCAGUAUAUCUUAUUCUUUUGGCUUGCAA